UACAGAGGUGGCAAGCGUUGUUCGGAAUUACUGGGCGUAAAGGGCGCGUAGGCGGCUUGGUCAGUCCCGUGUGAAAUCCCUCGGCUCAACUGAGGAACUGCACGGGAAACUGCCUGGCUUGAGUUCGGGAGAGGGAAGCGGAAUUCCGGGUGUAGCGGUGAAAUGCGUAGAUAUCGGGAGGAACAUCAGUGGCGAAGGCGGCUGCCUGGCCCAAUACUGACACUCAGGUGCGACAGCGUGGGGAGCAAACAGG
rnacentral:rRNA from 1 species